rnacentral:rRNA from 1 species
UACGAAGGGGGCUAGCGUUGUUCGGAAUUACUGGCGUAAAGCGCGCGCAGGCGGCUAUCCAAGUCAGUGGUGAAAGCCCGGAGCUCAACUCCGGAACUGCCAUUGAAACUGUUUAGCUUGAGGAUGAGAGAGGUGAGUGGAAUUCCCAGUGUAGAGGUGAAAUUCGUAGAUAUUGGGAAGAACACCGGUGGCGAAGGCGGCUCACUGGCUCAUUACUGACGCUCAGGCGCGAUAGCGUGGGGAUCAAACAGG